GCUUCUAAAGUAAAAAUGAAAAUUUCCUCUCACCUUUCACCUUUGUCUCCCGGGGAAAAAUGUCACGCUUUAUAAAGCACCAGACAAUAAUACAAUAUAGUACAAAUCCACUAGAUAUUGAGCAUUGAGAGAAGGAAGAGUGGAUAAGAGUGAUGGGAUCUGAGACAGAAUCAGAGCUCAGCUCCACACCAAGAUUACCAUUACUCUUCAACCCACAUGUACAUGCAUGUAUGCAGUCACCACAGAGGUCAGGGACGCUAACCCCGCCACUCUACGCCGCCUCAGCCUCUGUCCCAUUCCGCUGGGAGGAAGAGCCUGGCAAACCCAGAAGCUGUACUUCUCUCUCGAACCCCAUCGACUUUAGACCCAAGUGCCUGGAGCUACCUCCAAGGUUGCUCUUGGAUGCCAAUGUUUGUAAGCUGUCCUCGCCGACUAAAGUCUUGGAAGGACCUUAUAUGGGCAAGCAAAGAUUUCAGUCUUCUUCGUUUAGAAUAAUCAGAAGGGAGUGUUAUGGGUCCUUCCACAUGAGUUGUAGUCCUGAGAGAGGUCAGCUUAGUACCAUGGUCCUGAGCAAGAGAGGGCUGAAAGAGAAAGGACUUCUGGGUUCCUGGCGUUGGGGAAGGAGGGCUUUCACGGGUAAAAGAGAGGUUGCUGGGGCGAGCUAUGUUUUUCCUUCAUCAAUGGAUAGAGAGGUUGAAGGCGGCAACGAAGAGGAAGAGAUAAGUAGCAAGAAUGUGAAGAUCACGAGGAUCAGAAGAUCAGGCAGAUUUUCUACGCAUACCAGGUCUCAUUUCUGGGCGACAAUUUAUGAAGGAUUGAAGCAGGUAGUUCCCUGGAGGAACAGAAAACUAAAGAAAGAUAGGUUUGUUCUUUGAUUUUUCCUUGAGGCACAAGACGACACGUCUCAUUAAAUUACCUGAAAACUGCUAUGGCCCGUUCCUGUCUGAUUUAUAUAUCUUCAAACGACGGUGGCGUUUAGUUGGCACACUUCUCAACAGAUUUAUGGGGAGAACUAUCAAGCCUUUGUAGCCAUGUGGCUAAGAAACUCCAGGAAUGGCUUUAAGCAACAAGUUAGAGGUUUCUUGAGCAGUAACGUAGGCGCAAUUGAAAACUAAGCUGAAAAGCUGAUUGAUUGAGAACAGCCAACAGUUGAUUUAAGAGCAUUACCUGGCAAACACGGAAUUUUAACACAGUUGCAAAACAGAAUACUGAGCUUACCCAUCAAACAACCAGCUUGAGUUCAUGCCGUAAUAUUUCCAAUUUGCGUUCCAUAGUGUAUUAAUAUGUAAGGUUUUACCAGUUUGAGAAUCCCACACAAUUAAUAUAUUGAUUCGCCAUUAUAUCAAAUAUAUUUCAGGUAAAAGGGUUAUCAGAC